rnacentral:rRNA from 1 species
CACGAACGCUGGCGGCAGGCUUAACACAUGCAAGUCGAGCGCCCCGCAAGGGGAGCGGCAGACGGGUGAGUAACGCGUGGGAAUCUACCCAUCUCUACGGAAUAACGCAUGGAAACGUGUGCUAAUACCGUAUACGUCCCUCGGGAGAAAGAUUUAUCGGAGAUGGAUGAGCCCGCGUUGGAUUAGCUAGUUGGUGGGGUAAAGGCCUACCAAGGCGACGAUCCAUAGCUGGUCUGAGAGGAUGAUCAGCCACACUGGAACUGAGACACGGCCCAGGCUCCUACGGGAGGCAGCAGUGGGGAAUAUUGGACAAUGGGCGCAAGCCUGAUCCAGCCAUGCCGCGUGAGUGAUGAAGGCCCUAGGGUUGUAAAGCUCUUUCACCGGUGAAGAUAAUGACGGUAACCGGAGAAGAAGCCCCGGCUAACUUCGUGCCAGCCGCCGCCGUAACAC